CAGCACAAUGUGAGAAAUUAUUGUUACAAUUCAGCCAUUAAGAAAAGAAAACAUAUUUUAGGGUGUAUCUGAUUCAUGUUUCCAAUCCCAGCUUUGAUUUACAAAUUUCCUUUGUCUGGCACAGCCAGAGAGCUAGGGGCACCUCCCAGCUCUUCUCUGGCACAGCUGUCAUCUGAGGUCUCCUCGGUACAUUACAUGGAUGUGAAUAAACUAAUGAAUUCUAACAUGUACUUUCUCCUCCAGCACAACGUGAGAAUUAGCCAUCCUUGUCUUGUUUAACAUCUUAGGAGGAAGCCUCAGUCUUUCAUGACUAAUUCUGACAUUAGCUCUAGGUUUUUUAACAUGUCCAUUAAGAGGUGGAGGACAUUCCCUUCUUUCUAUUUCUUGUUUGCUGUUAGUUUUUAUCAUGAAUAGGUAUCAGAUUUUGUUGAUGACUUUUUUCCACGUCUAUUGAUUCAUUGAUUUUCAGGUAUUAAACCAAUCUCGCAUUUCUGGGAUAGACUCUAAUUGAUGUUAGUUUGUAAUCCUUCUUAUAUGCUGUUGGAUUUGGUUUGCUAAUUUUUUUUUUUUUUUUUUUGGUUUGCAAAUAUUGUUAGGGGUUUUUGCCUCUAUGUUCGUCAGAGAUAUUGGUGUAAGGUUUUCUUGGAAUGUUUAAUCUGGCUUUGGUAUCAGGGUGAUCCUGGGCUCAUAUAAUGAAUUGGGGAGGAUUACCUACUGUUUGUUUUCCUGAAAAAGUUGUGUAUAAUUGGUAUUAUUUUCUUCUUUAAAUGUUUGAUAAAUUUGACCAAUGAAGUCAUGGGGACAGGGCUUUUCUUUGUGGGAAGAUUUUAAAUCACGAAUUAAAUUUCUUUACUUGUUACAGGUCUAUUGGGAGUUUCCAUUUCUUCUUGUCAGUUUUGGUUGUCUGAUCUUUCCAGGCCUUUUUGCAUUUCAUCUUUAUUGGCAUACGUUUGCUCAUGGCAUUCCCUCAGCACCGGGUGGUGAUACCCCCUCUCAUCACCGGCCUGACUGCGCCUCCUCUCCCUUCUUGGUCAGCCUGUCUCAGGAUCUCUCAUCCAGGCACCAGCAACAUUUUGGCUCAAUAAUCCUGUCUUUGAGAGUUCCACGGUGCAUUGUGAACUGUGGCUGACAUGCCAGAUGGGUUUAGGGUCAACGGCUGUGGAGGAAAGGAGAGGAAUCAGGGCUGCACGGAGGGAGAAGUGAAUCGCAGUGUGGUCAGGCCAGCUGAGCCUCGGCCAGGCUCUGGAGGAAGGCGGCGGCUGUCAGAGAGUUCCCUGGACGCUGCUCAGCCUUCCCCUCCCACCUUGUUCAUCCCUGGACGGCAGAUGCGGCUCAGCUCCUCCUCCCUUGGGGCCUCAGACUGGACCCCUUUUCCUGCUGCUUGGCAGCAAAGGCUUUCUGGGGUGGCACUUCUGUGUUCACCCCAUGAAGGCACCUUCUCUCUGAAGCUUACACACAAGGAAGACUGGUUUGGGCCAUGAAACAUGCAGUGUGACAGUGACGAGCCGAGGGUCCCACGGAUUCCUGGCUCCCAUGGAGCCGUCCGUGUUCUAGCACGCUUCUGGGGGAGCACACUCCCUGCUGGCUCCCAUGGAGCCGUGUUCUAGCACGCUUCUGGGGGAGCGCACUCCCUGCUGGGCAACAAGGAGCCAGCUGCACAAUCUCCCCUUCCUGAAGAUGCACUGGACACAAAUAACCUCAUUUUCUACUCUUUCCACACCUGUAAGGCUGAGGCUGCAUCUCAGCUGGAAAAUUAACACUUGAAUUCUAAAUAAUAAUAAUUAUUGUUUCUGGUUAUUUUGAAUCCACUGACAAAGACCUUUACAAAAUAAUUGCACUGAUCAAUCCCAUAUGAGGCGCAGGGGAAGUUUCUUGAGCUGGCGUAUGAGGAGAACAUGAGGGGAAUUCUGCAAUGGUGUUCUGUUUAGUAAGUAUAAUUGCAAAGAGUGUAUCAUGUUAAAAUGCCUGACGUAGUGUCUUAUAAUAACACAUGGUUUCCAUCAAGAAGCAGAUGUUUCUCAGCCUCCCUUAAAAUAAACCAUCAUAAUUUAACCACACCCACAGGCUCCACUGCAGAGUGAGAGCAAAGGCGUGCACUGCACGUUCCAGAUCGGUCUAAUUGCAGCCUGAAAGCACUUUUUAGGGAGAAGUGCCCCUAAAAAGAAACAACUUAUUAGAGUAUCAGAUAAAGGCGUCCUGGAAGAAUUGUGUUCAGUAGCAACUAUAGCUGUGGCUCGCAGAAAAGCACAAAUGAAGCAAUUUCUGUCCUGAAGACUUGUGGCCCCUGGAUGUUCCUAACUUCAUGUUUCUAGGACCAAGUAAAAAAGACACACUCACUAUGCUUCAGAUGCUUUAAUUUCACCAUAGGAAGGCGUACACAAUGUUUUUCUGCUCAUAUAGUGAAACCCUUCACAAAAGUUCUCUUUAAAAUGGAGAUAUAACUCGUACCAUAUAAUUCAUGCUUUUAAAAUGUCCAAUCCCGGGGUUUUGAGUAUAUUUACAAAGUUGUGCAGCCAUCACCACUGUGCAAUUCCGGCGGGUUUCCAUCACCAAAAGGAAACCUCGACCUCUGGAUCAGAAACUUGCUUCUCGGUGUAAUGGAAGCAGGCGGCCACUAGAUGGGGACAUCUCUCCACCGCCUUGCAGGUGGGACCUGCACCCCAAGGAGCGGGAUGGAGAAACUCCAGCCCCGUGGGGCCUGCAGGCCUCUGGGCACAAGCCUUGCCCGUCGUUUCUCUCAAGACAGUUUCCCCAAAUGUCCUAAGCCUAGUCCUGUCUGUGCAUGAGAGGCUUUUUAGGCAGCAUGUGCACAGACGUUCCUUAUUUUGCUAGUUACUUGUUUCUUAUAUAUUAUAAUAUAUUAAUUUGAAUGUGUUACAGAGAAUCACUGGCGCAUUAGUCCAUGAGGUCACUCGUUUUAUGUAGAAUGAGCCUAGGUUAAAAAACAAAAUUACAUUUAACAUUAAUUCAAGAAACAAGUGACCGUAGGUGUGGACGUGGUCAAGUCCUGGGUGGGGGGGGUGCCACAGCUCUGAACUCCGGACAGUGCAGGAAGAAUGCCUCUGGGAGGAUAAAGUAAAAAUCCCUUGACUUUCACGAGAAUGGGAAAGCCUACUUCCAGGGACAGAUCUGUGCUCCACGCUGCCUGGGAAUCGUCCAUCUGCCAAUUGGGGAUGACUCCCCUCCCCUCCAAGCAGGAGGCCUUUGAUUCAUCUGUGUGAUCAGCCUCAGGGAAGAACUCCUCAGUCCUCAGAUAAUGCAAUCAGGAAGCUGGCUCUUUAUGGAAUGAGCCACCCCGGCCGUGCUUGUAGCCCAGAGGCGAGAAUCCAGGCUGAGGGGCUGAGAGGGGUCUUGGGUGGCACAUGGCCAUUGAUGGGCCACAGCUUACAAUUUUGAAACCUGGAAAUCAGGGUUUUGGAAACAAACCUGAUAGUCAAUAGGUUGAGUAACUUGGUGUUUUGGGGCCUCUUUCUGCCCGGGACGCACCAGCUGGAAGGGGAGGCAGCGAGUUCACCUGCUGGGUGUCCCCCCACCACGGGGGCUUCGUGCCCCUCACCACGGGGGCUUCGUGUCCCCCAUGGGGGCUCCCCAAGCUGCCCUGGCCUCUGCAGUACCUCUGCCAGCCAAAAUUGCAGGCUUUGAAGGCCAUGCUCAGGGUAUGGUUUGAUUUUAGUGGCAGUCCUGGUAGGUAAGAGGCCUCCCCCCCAUUUUCUAGACGAGCGAAGUGACAUUCAAAGCAUUUAAGUAACUCUCUGGUUACUGGAGAGGUGGUCUGUGAGCUCUGGUUCUGUAACUCCACAGUUUCAUAUGUUACACUUUCUUUGAGUUAUUUUCAUUCGAGGAGGGUAAGGUGCUUGCUGGUAGACACACAUGCUCUUGGCCACCUUCGAGCGCGGUAACCACCCGCUUUGUCUUGGGGAGAAUGUGGAGUGAGGAAACCUGAGACACCCAGGGUUUCUCCGCCACACACCGUGUUGCAAUUUUGAGGAUGAGGGUGGAAAUUCAUGUACUAAUUGCCUUUAUGAGAACAAAUGAUGGCGUUGUGUAACGUUAUUGUAUAAAGGGAGUGUUAUUUCCUAUUAAGCAUCUGCUUGAGAUGCUUGGGGGAGAAUGUAAAAGUCAUUUAAGAAAUAUUUGUUGAGGAAAUAAAUGAAUGAGUAAAUUAGAUAAGAAUAGCACCUGGUCUCAAAGAAUCAUCAAGCUAAUAAGAUCUUCUAUCGAGCUUAUAAAUACCGAAGUUCUAAAAGAAGCUGGCAGGGCUCUGCUGCGUUUCAUUAUUUCCAGAUCCUCAACGACCGUCCACCUCUGCAUUCCCGUUGGCCUUUGAAGUUUCCACCAGCCCCAGAGGGGAAGAAAAAUAACAAUAAACAAUAAAAAAUUAUACAAACAAAA